rnacentral:rRNA from 1 species
UGGGGAAUAUUGGACAAUGGGGGGAACCCUGAUCCAGCCAUGCCGCGUGUGUGAAGAAGGCCUUAUGGUUGUAAAGCACUUUAAGCGAGGAGGAGGGUACUGGUAUUAAUACUACCAGGUACUGGACGUUACUCGCAGAAUAAGCACCGGCUAACUCUGUGCCAGCAGCCGCGGUAAUACAGAGGGUGCGAGCGUUAAUCGGAUUUACUGGGCGUAAAGCGUGCGUAGGCGGCUAAUUGAGUCGGAUGUGAAAUCCCCGAGCUUAACUUGGGAAUUGCAUUCGAUACUGGUUAGCUAGAGUGUGGGAGAGGAUGGUAGAAUUCCAGGUGUAGCGGUGAAAUGCGUAGAGAUCUGGAGGAAUACCGAUGGCGAAGGCAGCCAUCUCGCCUAACACUGACGCUGAGGUACGAAAGCAUGGGGAGCAAACAGG